rnacentral:rRNA from 1 species
UACGUAGGGGGCAAGCGUUGUCCGGAUUUAUUGGGCGUAAAGCGCACGUAGGCGGCUUGGCAAGUCGGAUGUGAAAUCCCUCGGCUCAACCAAGGAAGUGCAUCCGAAACUGCUGAGCUUGAGUACUUAAGAGGAUCGCGGAAUUCCCGGUGUAGCGGUGAAAUGCGCAGAUAUCAGGAGGAACACCGAUGGCGAAGGCAGGUCUCUGGGCCACUACUGACGCUGAGAAGCGAAAGCAUGGGGAGCGAACAGG